UACGGGGGGGGGCAAGCGUUGUUCGGAAUUACUGGGCGUAAAGAGCGUGUAGGCGGCCAGGUAGGUCUGCUGUGAAAACUCGAGGCUCAACCUCGAGACGUCGGCGGAAACCAUCUGGCUAGAGUCCGGAAGAGGAGAGUGGAAUUCCUGGUGUAGCGGUGAAAUGCGCAGAUAUCAGGAAGAACACCCCGUGGCGAAGGCGGCUCACUGGCCCGGUACUGACGCUGAGGUGCGAAAGCGUGGGGAGCAAACAGG
rnacentral:rRNA from 1 species